CCAGCAGCCGCGGUAAUUCCAGCUCCAAUAGCGUAUAUUAAAGUUGUUGCAGUUAUAAAGCUCGUAGUUGGAUUUCUGGCAGGAGCGACCGGUCUCACACUCUGUGUGAGAACUCGUGUUGCCUCUGGCCAUCCUUGGGGAGAUCCUGUUUGGCAUUAAGUUGUCGGGCAGGGGACACCCAUCGUUUACUGUGAAAAAAUUAGAGUGUUUAAAGCAGGCUUAUGCCGUUGAAUAUAUUAGCAUGGAAUAAUAAGAUAGGACGUAGGUACUAUUUUGUUGGUUUGCGCACCCACGUAAUGAUUAAUAGAGACAGGCGGGGCUAUUCGUAUUGCAUUGUCAGAGGUGAAAUUCUUGGAUUUCUGCAAGACGAACUACUGCGAAAGCAUUGAGCAAGGAUGUUUUCAUUGAUCAAG
rnacentral:rRNA from 1 species